CUAUAAUGCAGUCGAACGCUUUGUGGUUCAACUGAUUUGAAGAGCUUGCUCAGAUAUGACGAUGGACAUUGCAAAGAGUGGCGAACGGGUGAGUAACACGUGGGAAACCUACCUCUUAGCAGGGGAUAACAUUUGGAAACAGAUGCUAAUACCGUAUAACAAUAGCAACCGCAUGGUUGCUACUUAAAAGAUGGUUCUGCUAUCACUAAGAGAUGGUCCCGCGGUGCAUUAGUUAGUUGGUGAGGUAAUGGCUCACCAAGACGAUGAUGCAUAGCCGAGUUGAGAGACUGAUCGGCCACAAUGGGACUGAGACACGGCCCAUACUCCUACGGGAGGCAGCAGUAGGGAAUCUUCCACAAUGGGCGAAAGCCUGAUGGAGCAACGCCGCGUGUGUGAUGAAGGGUUUCGGCUCGUAAAACACUGUUGUAAGAGAAGAAUGACAUUGAGAGUAACUGUUCAAUGUGUGACGGUAUCUUACCAGAAAGGAACGGCUAAAUACGUGCCAGCAGCCGCGGUAAUACGUAUGUUCCAAGCGUUAUCCGGAUUUAUUGGGCGUAAAGCGAGCGCAGACGGUUAUUUAAGUCUGAAGUGAAAGCCCUCAGCUCAACUGAGGAAUUGCUUUGGAAACUGGAUGACUUGAGUGCAGUAGAGGAAAGUGGAACUCCAUGUGUAGCGGUGAAAUGCGUAGAUAUAUGGAAGAACACCAGUGGCGAAGGCGGCUUUCUGGACUGUAACUGACGUUGAGGCUCGAAAGUGUGGGUAGCAAACAGGAUUAGAUACCCUGGUAGUCCACACCGUAAACGAUGAGUGCUAGGUGUUUGAGGGUUUCCGCCCUUAAGUGCCGCAGCUAACGCAUUAAGCACUCCGCCUGGGGAGUACGACCGCAAGGUUGAAACUCAAAGGAAUUGACGGGG
rnacentral:rRNA from 1 species